AGGUCUCGUGUUUCCGUGAGGAGCGGGAUGUGCUGGCCCGCGGGGACCGGCGCUGGAUCACGCGGCUGCACUUCGCCUUCCAGGACCCGCAGUGCCUGUACCUGGUCAUGGAGUACUACAUCGGCGGGGACCUCCUGACGCUGCUCAGCAAGUUUGGGGACCGGCUGCCGCUGGCCAUGGCCCGGUUCUACCUGGCCGAGCUGGUGAUGGCCAUCGACUCCGUGCACCGCCUGGGCUACGUGCACCGGGACAUCAAACCUGACAACAUCCUGCUGGACCGCUGGGG